UAGCUCAGUCGGUAGAGCAGAGGACUGAAAAUCCUCGUGUCGCUGGUUCGAUUCCUGC
rnacentral:tRNA from 1 species